GCUUCUGAGACUUGUUUGGGGAGGUAAAGAGUGUUGGACGUGCUUCUCCUGGUGGGUUUUCACAGACUGUGAGGAUUUAUUCGUCUUAGAACGUGUGGAUCAGGAGGGCGCUGGGUUUCAAGGUUAGGCAGGCCUCAUGCUCAGCCGUAUUCUGGCGGACUGACUACCCUGACGUCCUCUCAGCGCGGACCCUGACAAGGUCCGCGGCAGGCUGAGGCGGGAGAAUCGCUUGAACCCCGGAGGCGGAGGUUGCAGUGAGCCGAGAUCGCGCCACUGCACUCCAGCUGGGCGACGCAUCGUCUCAAAACAAACAAACAAAAACAAAAGCUAUCAAUUGGCUACAUAUUGUUAUUUGUAUGACAAAUUCUUUUUCCUUUUUUAGAGAUGGAGUCCUGGGACUACAGGCGCGCGCCCCAAUGCCCAGCUAACUUUUGUAUUUUUAAUAGAGACGGGGUUUCUCCGUGUUGGUCAGGCUGGUCUCGAACUCCUGACCUCAGGUGAUCUGCCCCCCUUUGCCUCCCAAAGUACUGGGAUUACAGGCGUGAGCCACCGCGCCCGGCAUGUAUUACAAAUUCUAAGAACACGAAGAUAAUGGGGCCGGCUUGGUGGCGCGAACCUGUAGCCUCACCUACUGUCAAGACUGAGACAGGAGGAUCUCUUGAGCCCAGGAGGUCGAGGCUGCAGUGAGUCAUGAUCGCACCACUGCACUCCAGCUUGGGAGACAGAAUAUACCCUGUCUAAAAAAUAAUAAUAAAAAAAAAGGUUAAAAUUUGGAGGAUAACUCCCAGCUAGAAAGGAAGAAAAGCUCUAAAGUGGAAUCGCCUUCCCCCGGAAGCUGUUGUAAAAAUUAAAGGAUGUAUGUGAGUGCA
rnacentral:lncRNA from 1 species